rnacentral:rRNA from 1 species
GCUGGCGGCAUGCCUAACACAUGCAAGUCGAACGGAAACGAUGGGAGCUUGCUCCCAGGCGUCGAGUGGCGGACGGGUGAGGAAUGCAUAGGGAUCUGCCCAGUAGCGGGGGACAACUCGGGGAAACUCGAGCUAAUACCGCAUACGCCCUACGGGGGAAAGCAGGGGAUCUUCGGACCUUGCACUAUUGGAUGAGCCUAUGCCUGAUUAGCUUGUUGGUGGGGUAACGGCCUACCAAGGCGACGAUCAGUAGCUGGUCUGAGAGGACGAUCAGCCACACUGGGACUGAGACACG